rnacentral:rRNA from 1 species
UACGGAGGAUCCGAGCGUUAUCCGGAUUUAUUGGGUUUAAAGGGUGCGCAGGCGGGAGAUUAAGUCGGCGGUGAAAUUUUGCAGCUCAACUGUAAAAGUGCCUUCGAAACUGGUUUCCUUGAGUGUAGCUGAAGUAGGCGGAAUUUGUGGUGUAGCAGUGAAAUGCAUAGAUAUCACGAGGAACUCCGAUUGCGCAGGCAGCUUACUAAACUACUACUGACGCUCAUGCACGAAGGCGUGGGGAUCAAACAGGAUUAGAUA